rnacentral:misc_RNA from 1 species
GAAUUGCGAUAUGUAAUGUGAAUUGCAGAAUUCAGUGAAUCAUCGAAUCUUUGAACGCAUCUUGCACUCUUUGGUCUUCCAAAGGGUAUGCCUGUUUGAGUAUCAUUAAUAUGAUCAAUACAAAUCAAAUCAAUCAAAUCAACUUGAUACUUGAUAUGUACUUGGAUGUUGAAGGUAUGCUGGCUUUGCGGUUAGCUCCUUUUAAAUAAAUUAGCAGAACCAUUUAGGACUGGCUUCAGUUUGAUAAUGAUGAGCCUUUAUCGAUGCUGUUGCUUGUUAUUUUUGUUCCGCUGAUAAUUGUCCUUUUGGACUGUCUUUUUAAAGACAUUUAAUUCUUUAACUGAUCUCAAAUCAGGUAGGAUUACCCGCUGAACUUAA